GAUAACAUCCAAAGUCCCGCCAGCCUCACUGAGAACCUGGGAAGAUCAAAACACACCGAAUCACAGUCUAACCCGUUCGAGCUGGUAGUUAGCGCGUGUUUGCGACGAUCAGGCGCCACGCUAAGCGGCUUACGUGCACUCUCUCGUCUGACCAUGAUAAGGGCAUUAGAGGGUGCUCUACCGUGGACGGACCUCUAUUUAGGAAAACUUGGCAUCUAAAAGCCCAUCGUGACAAAAUCGACACAUUAAGGGUUACAACUAAGACUCAAAGGGCUGGAUUUGUGCCUAGUAAGUGAAAAACGGCACAAGAUGUGAGUCAGUCGACAUCCCUCUCGUGCUGCAUGCUACCUUCUGAGUCCCAGUCUGGCUCUCCUGGUCCAGAGAUCUGUUUCACAGGAACCUGAAAACCUGCCAAAUCCAUCACCGGUGAUGAGCAGCAACCAGUCAAUCACGGUUUGCCGAGGACUGAUAAGAUUUUAACACCGAAAGGCCCAAGUCCCCGGAAACCCUUCAGUGCUAAGCACACCAGCUCCACGAGGGGGCAUCCCAGGAGUCCACGUUUUAUGCUGAGCGGCUGUGUCCACUAAAGCUCCAAAUGAUUGGACCCGAAUGGACACCUGACCCAAAAGCAGCCAAUCCAUUGGCUGGACAGCAACCAAUGACCUAUGUGACUUAUUUAUUUAUUUUUAAUUUAUUUUUGAGAGAGAGAGACACCCCCUCCCCCAGCACAAGUGGGGGAGGAGCAGAGGGGGGGGCGGGG